rnacentral:lncRNA from 1 species
GCACACCUGUGGUCCCAGCUACUCGGGAGAAUACAGAAAUUGAGAGAAGAAAUUCUAGAGGAGACUCAGAUCAUCUUUUCAAUGUGCCCGUCUAUCUUCAUUAGGGGAAGAACUUCAGCAAGGUCUUGCUGGGAUUUAGCCCCCUGAAGUAUCGAAGAUGACACUUGCUGACAGUGGAGGAAACCGAGGAGGCAGCACAGAGGAUGGUGUUUGUGCACAGAGAUGAGAGGGGUGCAGCUUUCACCGACAAGGGGAGGAGGGCACAUUCCCAACCCCAGGGAGUGUUCCAUGCCAGAGACGGAAAGGGACAGCUCAGACAUUGUCCCAGACCCGUCCCUGUCUCCUCCAAAUAAGGAGGCCUCCAACUCCAGUUCAGGAAGUUAGCGGCUCAUAAAGGAUGAGUUGAUUUAGAGCCUUUCCCUGUGAAGAAGCUUGGAAGAGCCAGGGUUCAAAGCCUUUGAGAUAAACCAACAACUGUGCCCCUGCUGGGAAGUCAUUAGUGUUUGAGGGUCCCACCCAUUACUUUUGUAAAGACACAUGCUUUGUGGACUUAUAAAUAAAACUUCAAAGGUGAUGACAGUCCAGCAGCUGUGUAGAUGGUUGCAUCCUUAUGAACUGUGGACAGAAGCUGAAGUGGGUAGGAGUCAGGGCAACUUUCUGGACAGCAGAUUAAACCUGUGAGUG